UACAUAGGUCCCGAGCGUUGUUCGGAUUCACUGGGCGUAAAGGGUGCGUAGGGGGCCUAAAAAGUUUGAUGUGAAAGCUCAGGGCUUAACCCUGAAAUGGCAUUGAAUACUGUUGGGCUGGAGGUUUGGAGGGGGGACUGGAAUUCUUGGUGUAGCAGUGAAAUGCGUAGAUAUCAAGAGGAACACCAGUGGCGAAGGCGAGUCCCUGGACAACACCUGACACUGAGACACGAAAGCUAGGGGAGCAAACAGG
rnacentral:rRNA from 1 species